CUUCAGGGAGCCGAGCCACAGGGGGCGUUCGGCGGUGCGCUCGGCGCCGUAGGUGGCGAUGAGGGCGUGUGCCUC
rnacentral:antisense_RNA from 1 species